GACUUGGAGCAGAUCCAGUGGGAGGUAUUUCAUAAUAAGUCCGCCAGCAUGUCACCCCAAAAACUCAACUUUUUCUCAUUUCUUUGGCUGGAGUCCGCACAUCAAAUGAACGGAAAGGAAGCAUCUCAGAACAUUUUGGCACCUGGUGUUGCUGAUCAUCAUGGGCACUGGCUUAGCUGCAAGCUAGAUAUAAACAACUGCUCUUCUAAUCAGCUUGAUCCAAUGCAAGGGAAAUAAUGGUAACUUUUGGGAUUUUAUGACUUCCAAAUUCACAAGUCCCGUGAUGAAUCAAGGUGUGCUAAUUAGACUCUGAUGAUCUUCUGC